rnacentral:rRNA from 1 species
UGGGGAAUUUUGGACAAUGGGCGAAAGCCUGAUCCAGCAAUGCCGCGUGUGUGAAGAAGGCCUUCGGGUUGUAAAGCACUUUUGUCCGGAAAGAAAUCCUUGGCUCUAAUACAGUCGGGGGAUGACGGUACCGGAAGAAUAAGCACCGGCUAACUACGUGCCAGCAGCCGCGGUAAUACGUAGGGUGCAAGCGUUAAUCGGAAUUACUGGGCGUAAAGCGUGCGCAGGCGGUUUGCUAAGACCGAUGUGAAAUCCCCGGGCUCAACCUGGGAACUGCAUUGGUGACUGGCAGGCUAGAGUAUGGCAGAGGGGGGUAGAAUUCCACGUGUAGCAGUGAAAUGCGUAGAGAUGUGGAGGAAUACCGAUGGCGAAGGCAGCCCCCUGGGCCAGUACUGACGCUCAUGCACGAAAGCGUGGGGAGCAAACAGGAUUAGAUACCCUGGUAGUCCACGCCCUAAACGAUGUCAACUAGUUGUUGGGGAUUCAUUUCCUUAGUAACGUAGCUAACGCGUGAAGUUGACCGCCUGGGGGAGUACGGUCGCAAAGAUUAAAACUCAAAUGAAUUGACGGGGUCAUAGCUGUUUCCU